UACGAAGGGUGCAAGCGUUACUCGGAAUUACUGGGCGUAAAGCGUGCGUAGGUGGUGGUUUAAGUCUGUUGUGAAAGCCCUGGGCUCAACCUGGGAAUUGCAGUGGAUACUGGGUCACUAGAGUGUGGUAGAGGGUAGCGGAAUUCCCGGUGUAGCAGUGAAAUGCGUAGAGAUCGGGAGGAACAUCCGUGGCGAAGGCGGCUACCUGGACCAACACUGACACUGAGGCACGAAAGCGUGGGGAGCAAACGGG
rnacentral:rRNA from 1 species